GAUAUGACCUCAAAAUAACAGGGGUCAAGGUCAGCUAGUGAGACGAUGGGGGAUAAGCUUCAUCGCCGAGAGGGAAACAACCCGGAUCACCAGCUAAGGCCCCUAAAUGACCGCUCAGUGAUAAAGGAGGUAGGGGUGCAGAGACAACCAGGAGGUUUGCCUAGAAGCAGCCACCCUUGAAAGAGUGCGUAAUAGUUCACUGAUCGAGGGAGUAGAAAAUUUAAAUAUAGAUGAUCUAAAAAUUAAUUUUAUGAAUAUAAUAGAAUGUGA
rnacentral:ncRNA from 1 species